rnacentral:rRNA from 1 species
GAUAAAAAAGCAAGUAAGGGCGCACGGCGGAUGCCUUGGCUCUCGGAGGCGAUGAAGGACGCGAUAAGCUGCGAUAAGCCGCGGGUAGGUGCAAAUAACCUUUGAUCCGCGGAUUUCCGAAUGGGACAACCCGUCACUUUGAAGGAGUGACAUCUGUCACAGACAGAGGCUAACGCGGGGAACUGAAACAUCUUAGUACCCGCAGGAAAAGAAAAUAAACAAUGAUUCCCCCAGUAGUGGCGAGCGAACGGGGAUGAGCCCAAACCACCGGCGUUACGGCGCCGGCGGGG